ACGGAAGGCAGCAGUGAGGAAUAUUGGUCAAUGGACGGAAGUCUGAACCAGCCAUGCCGCGUGAAGGAAUAAGGCCCUAUGGGUCGUAAACUUCUUUUGUGGUGGAGCAAUAAGGUGCACGUGUGCAUCGAUGAGAGUACAUCACGAAUAAGCAUCGGCUAACUCCGUGCCAGCAGCCGCGGUAAUACGGAGGAUGCGAGCGUUAUCCGGAUUUAUUGGGUUUAAAGGGUGCGUAGGCUGUUCUUCAAGUCAGAGGUGAAAUACCGGGGCUCAACCCUGGAACUGCCUUUGAUACUGGAGGGCUUUAAUACUGUUGCCGUGGGAGGAAUGAGUAGUGUAGCGGUGAAAUGCAUAGAUAUUACUCAGAACACCGAUUGCGAAGGCAUCUCACGAAGCAGCGAUUGACGCUGAGGCACGAAAGCGUGGGGAUCAAACAGGAUUAGAUACCCUGGUA
rnacentral:rRNA from 1 species